rnacentral:rRNA from 1 species
AAACCAACAGGGAUUGCCUUAGUAACGGCGAGUGAAGCGGCAAAAGCUCAAAUUUGAAAUCUGGCACUUUCAGUGUCCGAGUUGUAAUUUGAAGAAGGUAACUUUGGAGUUGGCCCUUGUCUAUGUUCCUUGGAACAGGACGUCACAGAGGGUGAGAAUCCCGUGCGAUGAGGUGUCCAAUUCUAUGUAAAGUGCUUUCGAAGAGUCGAGUUGUUUGGGAAUGCAGCUCUAAGUGGGUGGUAAAUUCCAUCUAAAGCUAAAUAUUGGCGAGAGACCGAUAGCGAACAAGUACAGUGAUGGAAAGAUGAAAAGAACUUUGAAAAGAGAGUGAAAAAGUACGUGAAAUUGUUGAAAGGGAAGGGCUUGAGAUCAGACUCGGUAUUUUGCAAGCCUAUCCUUCGUGGAGAGGUUUAUUAGCAGCUUACCGGGCCAGCAUCGGUUUGGAUGGUAGGAUAAUGGCAUUGGAAUGUGGCUCCUCGGAGUGUUAUAGCCUUUGUUGAUACUGCCUAUCUAGACCGAGGACUGCGUCUUGACU